CGCCGGACCUGACUGCUAUCGGAUUGAUACUAAGCCAUGCGAGUCAUUGUAGCAAUACAAGGCAGACGGCUCAGUAACGCGUAGUCAACCUACCCUAUGGACGGGAAUAACCUCGGGAAACUGAGUAUAAUGCCCGAUAGAACAUUAUGCCUGGAAUGGUUUAUGUUCCAAAUGAUUUAUUGCCGUAGGAUGGGACUGCGGCCUAUCAGUUUGUUGGUGAGGUAAUGGCCCACCAAGACUAUUACAGGUACGGGCUCUGAGAGGAGUGGCCCGGAGAUGGGUACUGAGACACGGACCCAGGCCCUAUGGGGCGCAGCAGGCGAGAAAACUUUGCAAUGUGCGAAAGCACGACAAGGUUAAUCCGAGUGGUUUCUGCUAAAGGAACCUUUUGUUAGUCCUAGAAACACUAACGAAUAAGGGGUGGGCAAGUUCUGGUGUCAGCCGCCGCGGUAAAACCAGCACCUCAAGUGGUCAGGAUGAUUAUUGGGCCUAAAGCAUCCGUAGCCUGCUCUGUAAGUUUUCGGUUAAAUCUGUACGCUUAACGUACAGGCUGCCGGGAAUACUGCAGAACUAGGAAGUGGGAGAGGUAGACGGUACUCGGGAGGAAGUGGUAAAAUGCUUUGAUCUCUCGAUGACCACCUGUGGCGAAGGCGGUCUACCAAAACAUGUCCGACGGUGAGGGAUGAAAGCUGGGGGAGCAAACCGGAUUAGAUACCCGGGUAGUCCCAGCUGUAAACUAUGCAAACUCGGUGAUGCAUUGGCUUGAUGCCAAUGCAGUGCCGCAGGGAAGCCGUUAAGUUUGCCGCCUGGGAAGUACGUACGCAAGUAUGAAACUUAAAGGAAUUGGCGGGGGAGCACCACAAGGGGUGAAGCCUGCGGUUC
rnacentral:rRNA from 1 species